GCAGGAAUGCCGUCGCCUGUUGGCAUUUCGCCACACAUAGCAACUGAUUAAACUGUGGAAUUUGCUCCCACAAAAUGGUGUCUGCCAACACAGAAGGCUUUAAAAGAGGAUUAGAGAAAUUCAUAGAGGAUAAGGCUCUCUGUACCUACUAGUCAAGAUAGCUAUAUAUAUUACUUCUUGUACCAGAGGAAGUGGGCAUGAGUAGGCUGCCCUAUUCAGUUUAUGGGCUGUGCUCUUUCACAGGGCAUAUGUUGCCAAAUGAGGCAGCUCAUAUCAAAUCUCCCCAUCGUCAAAAUGAAUUUUGAAGACGGAGGACUUCAUCUGGCAACCCUAAUCAUGGCUAAUACCAUUGACAUGGAGAUAAACACAUGUCUGCUAGUAAUUAGUUUAUUAUCUGUUGCUACAUUGAUAUCUGUCUGGCCUUUCUUGCAGUGUAUGCUUGAGGUUCACCCUUAUGAAAAUCGUGUGAGGUAUGUCAGGCUGAGAGCGAGUGUGCAAAGAGGUGGUUCCACUGGCAAUAAGAACCUCAAUUAUAUUGAUUUAAGCAUUAUUUAAAUUGAUUUAUAAAUUCCUGGGCACACAACGCAUGAGUGGAAUCAACUUAUUUGGACUGCAAAGUGACUUAAAAAAAAAAA